GUCUCUGUGACCUUGUACAGGAUGGCACACACAGCUACUGGAAGAGUUUAUAUUCUACAAGCAUAGAACUCCGUGGGGCAAACUGAACCUCUCAUCAAAUACCAGCAACUUCCCACCACCUCUGUCCAAAUUGCUAUGACUGCAUGGGUUAAAGCUGCUCUCCGUAGGGUUUGGGACAAGAUAAUCAAGUUUUUAUGUUUGUGGACAAAUGAAUAUCCGCUCCUCUCCGAAUAUCUGCUCUGACGCCUGAUGGAGAGCUGUAGAAGGCGGACAAUUUUUCAGCACGGUGUCUUAUUUCCUGCUGAGUUAUUUUGUCUGUCCAAGGAGCUCUUAGAGAAGAAAACAGAAAAAUGGAUUUAUGUUGCUGUACCUGAUAA